rnacentral:lncRNA from 1 species
GCUUGACCUGUCUUAAGAUCGCAUGCAAGUCUGAAGGACUCCCCAGGAAUCCAGAGCACAAAGAUCUUUGUUUAGGCCACAGCUCAGCCUGGCCAGCAACCUCUGUCUAGACUUGUCUGCUAUCUACUUCCUACUCCAGCUGAGACAGAUUCUAUUUGAAAAGACUGCAUUGAGGUUCAUGCGAACCAGCUGUUUCUCAAGAUUUUCGGAUCUCAGCCUGUCCUAUAAUGGAUUCUGAAGAGGCUCCAUGUCAACCAGGGCUACCUGACAUGGUGGUAAAUUUUUGUUUGACACACACUCAGAUUUGCUGUAUGGAUAGUACCAGCAACUUUGUAGUUGAAAGAGUUUUCAUGGCCCAGAACAGCGGACCUGAACCAUAAAGAG